GUAUAAACGAAAUCAUUUGAUGGGAGUUGGACGGAGACUAACUCCUAAAUUAUUUCGUUCCCAUUUUCCGCCAUUUCUUCUAUAGACAUGUGGUCACCAUCAUGCUGUGAUAGGCUUAAUUUUGAAUACGACUUUUCUGCUGGAUAAUAAGCUGGGGAAAAUCCGAUGCAACUUCGCUCGUAUCACGUGGAGCCAGAUGAAAUUUGGAAACUGGUGUGUAAAUCAGUGGAAACCACAAUGUUAGUAUUGCUGAGGCUGUCAGCUUUUGUUUAUAUACACUUUAUUGAUUGAUGGGAUUCACAAGAACAAUUUCUUGCCUGAACAAGAAGUAUUUUCGAUAUUUUUUCAUACAGUUUAAUAUUCCAUCCAUUUUUAGUUGUUUUUCUGAUCACCAAGCAGAACAUGUUUGUACAGCAAAUUCUAUAUUUGUGUUACUUCUAAUGCAGUUCAUGGUUAAAAGGAAGUAUAUUUCUUUGGUUAUCCUAGAUGUAAGUGGCUACUGAUCUGAAAGCCAUGAAAUUAUUAAAGUUUAAAGAACUAGGUAUACAAAGGCUGAAAUUCCUGAUAAUACUGUAAAUAUUUUAAGGUUUUUAUUAUUUUUUGAAUAAUGAAGGAUUCCCAAUUGCAGAUUAUGGCAGUCCUGAAUGGUCCAUUGCUAGAUUAAAUGGCCAUAUGAUAGAUAUCCAAAAUUACAUUUGAAUAUAGUAAGUAAGAUCUGAAAUGUGCUCUAAGGCUAACUUGGACUAUUGUAAGGCCUUCAAAUUUUUGAAUUCCCUGUUGUAAAUCGUACAAUCCUCAUUUAAGCAUAGUUUUGGAAAUCCAAAAGUCUUGUCACUAGAUGUCUACGCUAUUCUAAGACCUCCAGCCUCAGAAGUAGUCACUUGGCGCAUAUUGGUCAGCUAAGCUCAUCUACUAUUCACGUGGUAAUGUUGGAAUUUCGAAUCUUUUUUUCAGCGGGGAUAUUCUCACACUUUUUACUUCAUGAGACAUAAACUACAUUUUUUUUUUCCACCAGUCAAGAAGUGAUGUUUCAUAUAUUUGGUAUGAGCCAGUAUCAUAAUCAUUAUAUUGCAGGAUGAGACAUAAGCAAUGAUGGGUAUGCAGACAUUGGACCCCCACUGUAUGGUGGGGUGAAGUUCAGAUAGUAGAUUUAACGGACCAUAAUGCUCGCCGAAGUUCCCGACAGUCCAAAGGGUUUAAAAAUUGAAAACAAAUUGCUUUGGCGUGGCAGAGCAAGGGUCCUCGGAAGACGAUGCAGUGGAACCUUGGUUACGACAAUCAAGACUAUUGUUUUAUUGAUUAUUUUCAAGAAUAUGUGGCGUUCACGUGAAAGGAUAACAUGCACUAAAUAGUUUGUUGCAAGCUUUUUUUUUUUUUUAGGCGAUACCAUGUUGGAUACUAUUUAGUUGAACGGCAUAAUUGUUUGUGCAAUAAUCGACGGGAGAUGGCAUCUUGAAAGAGAUGGCUGUAUGUUGGAUGCGUUAUUACUGAGGGCCGUGAACAGUUUUCUCUAAGCUCGAUUUUACUGGUAAAUGGCAACAGACCAGAAUAGUAGGGCCAUUCUUAAAAACUAAGAAUCGCCCGUGUCUUGAAUCACAUGUUUUGGAACUGUGGAGUUAAUGUUAAGUGAUCUCCUGGAUGGAAGCAUGUUGCAGAUGGAAAAUGGAUUCGUGUUGCAAUGGGUUAUCAUAAACCCCACAUCCAAGAAGCCAUAAGGAUCGCAAUGCAGUCUUCAGCAAAUCUGUGUGAUAUUUUGGCCAAUAUGCUUAUUACAAGCAGAACAUUUGGCACAAUCAAGGAAGGAUGAGACAUGAAAAAAGGACAAUCAGAUUGCAGAAUGUACUUGCAUAACAUGCAACCUAAUGGAAUCCUGUUAUAUUAACUGCAUAUUCACACAGAAGCUUCUGACUGAUAAGAAGAGUGUUGGAUGUUAAGACACAUUCAACAUGCAGGCCAAAUCCCAUAUUAACCAUGCAUUCAUGCUCAUCAGAUAAUUUUGUCUUCUCUGGUUCGAUCAAAAUCUUCUUCCUAAGUGAUGAAAAUAUGAAACAUGUGGAAAUACUGAAACUAGGGUAAAAUAAACUAGUUCCAGUUUAUGUGUGGGAUACAAGAAAUGUGAAUCAUGUCUUAAGUUGAAAUAGGUAGUUGCAGAUUGAGCAAAUAUCCUUCAGUGUUUCCUAGUAUGAGUUGGUAGCAGGAGAUAUUGCAUCAUAGAAGACCAACAAUGUAAACUAGUGCACAGAAGAUGUGCAGUAAUGAAUAGCAAACAAGUGACACUAAUGUUAUGACAGAACAACAAAAUUGAUAACAGCCACAAGUUAACUAUCAGCUAGAAGUUUGAAGCGGCUUAACUAUUAGGCCAAAAUGGCGCCUCCCAACAACGCUCUACCAGAUGCUAGUGGAACCUAUUCUUUAGAAAAAUCCCGUCACAUUUUGGCUGCAGGUUUGUAUUUAUCUUGCUACGUAGAUUAACGAAUUAAUCACGUUAGGCGCGAAAUUUCCAUUCAGAUAAAUUAAGGUGUUAGAUUUGAGACAUUUGCUUGAAAUGUAGAGCUAUUCAGCGGUAUAUGUGUCGUAGUAACUGACAUCGUACUUUCAGAAGCCACGUAUUGUUUAUUUACUGUAGUUAUUUACUUCUGCUACUAUGAAAAUCUUGUUAACAAUGCAAAGGAGAACAUAGCUCAUUUUUGACAUUUCCGAAAUUGUGACUUCCGGUUUUACUUCCUGUUUUAAAAUAGCGUAUAGUUGCUUGUGUUUAAGUCUGUUCAUAAAAAGAUUCACAUUUUCGUGAUCCUCGUCAAAUUUGGGGUCGAAUCUAAAGGGUCAGCUCAAAAUACCCGAAAAUCGUCAAAAAUCGCAAAAGUCCCUGAACGAUUUUUGUUCAUGUUGUUUUGUUCAUGAAAAUUCGCGAUUUUGGCCAUAUCCAGCUUUUGGCUGAAAACACAUCAGUCUUAUCCCAAAUUUUAUAAGGAUUAUGAAAAUUCUAUUCGUUUUGUCAUAGGGUCAAUAUUUUCGGAGAUAUUGGCUACUUCCGGUGACUUCCGGGAAAAUUUUACGUGAUUUUGCAGAAAGUAACAAAUGAACUAUAUUCUUCCCAUCGUUUUUAGUAAUUUCAUCUUAACUGAUGAGAUUUGGUGGCCCUUUUCCCUUGUUUUUCUGCUAUCUACGAUAUUGGUUGAUCUUACGACAUGUAUGCGGUUGAACGGAUGUGACAUGUUUAGCGCCUUUUUCUGCAGUGCAACUACUCACUAAAUUUUUUUAUUAUCGCGCUAUCAAAAUAUAGUUAGAUGUCUGAAAUAGUAACGAUCGAACACGUAAAGCGCUAAGUUUCGCACUUCUUUUUGAAGUUAUACCUCUUAUUCAUUGGCUAUCAAAUACGAAAACUAGAUGGCGUUGUUGUUCCCCCAAAUAAUGGCUGAUUGCUUGUAACUAGUGAAAUCGAUGUCUGUUAAUUUUCUUAACUGUGUGUGGUGUGCUUCAAAGAAAUAUUCAUCUAAAAAUUAACGGCUGUCUUUCAUAUGUGACAGUUCCGAUUGUUAUCAGCUAUGCCAGCUGCUCAGCUUGGAAAUUGCAGGCUAUCUAUACUUUUGCUUUUUAUCAUGCCAUUUACUCAUGCUUGUUGUACUUAACGCUGGAGCUUGAAUCCUUGAUACUGAAGCUUGAAUGCCAACAGUUUUCAUCUAAUUAGUGUUAUCGGACAUUGAUGAUCAAUGUUUCAUGAAAACAAUGUUCUCUAUUUCGCAUGCAAGAAAAAUUUGCUUUAGCACCACUGCAUUACAGUGAACCAUGAGCGGGAGUGUGACUAGUUCAAUCAACUUCGUCUUCCAACUUUGACCGUCACCUUCAUCUUUGUGACCAAACCGACCAGCAUUCACCUACCUGAACGUCAUCGCUUCAUUAUGAGAUUGUCAACGGUAAACAAAUAAUUCCUGAUCUUCCCCUUUUCUUCCAACUCAUCAUCUUCAUCUCAUCGUCUUCAAGCUGGUCGUCUUUGCCUCACAGCUUUUAACCUGGUCGUCUUCGCUUCGCUGCCUUUAACCUGGUCGUCUUCGCCUUGCCGUUUUCGCCUGACCUUCUCCAUCUCAUCGAUUUGUCGCAUCUUCUUGGAUCUCGCCUGUCUUCGCCUCAUCGCCGUCUUCGUGGAGCCUCGUGUUUUUGGUAUUGUUUUGUAUUGUAUUGUUGUAUAGUGUAUGUUGUAAGUUAACCCGUUGGCUGCCACCCAUUUUGCUCCCCUUUUUUUUUUAGUUGUAGGGACCGGCGGCGCUGUUCUACCCCAUGGCUGAUCAACCAUGGGGUGGGGCAGUCGCCUUGCGCCUUAGGGCGCCGUAGGCAAUGCACCAGUAGGGACUUCCCCUUGUCGAUGCGAUGGUGGAGUACCUGGGGUGUGCAUUCCCGUAAAGGUCUCCAUUGUCAAGUCAGCCCGGACUUGUUUUCGGACAAGUCCCCCUUUCAUCGAAUCCCUCAGAAACGAUGCGUAGCGACUGUAGUAGAACAACCUAAUGGUUGUAAUGGCUUGGCAGCCGACGGGUUAACUUAGUGUUUGUGUAUAUGUGUAUGUAUGUAUGUAUUGUAUAACUUGUAAUGUAUUGUAGAACAUGUAAUGUAAAAUAGUGGUGGAAUUGUGGGUGGAGGUGGGAUAAUACAAAAUCAAUUCCUUUUA